rnacentral:rRNA from 1 species
AUUGAACGCUGGCGGCAGGCCUAACACAUGCAAGUCGAACGAGUGGCGGACGGGUGAGUAAUGUCUGGGAAACUGCCUGAUGGAGGGGGAUAACUACUGGAAACGGUAGCUAAUACCGCAUACCAUCAGAUGUGCCCAAAUGGGAUUAGCUAGUUGGUGGGGUAACGGCUCACCUAGGCGACGAUCCCUAGCUGGUCUGAGAGGAUGACCAGCCACACUGGAACUGAGACACGGUCCAGACGCCUACGGGAGUACGCAGUGGGGAAUAUUGCACAAUGGGCGCAAGCCUGAUGCAGCCAUGCCGCGUGUGUGAAGAAGGCCUGCGGGUUGUAAAGUACUUUCAGCGGGGAGGCGUUACUCGCAGAAGAAGCACCGGCUAACUCCGUGCCAGCAGCCGCGGUAAUUC